GGAGGGAGGCAGGAGAGGACCCAGGAAGCUCUAGACAGCAGCUCCGCCAGGUUCCUCUCGCGAUAUCUGAGCGUUGCCAUUAACUCUAGCCCCGCAGGCUAGAGUUCACUCUCCACUGGACCACCAGGGAUGGCACAUGGCAGCAAGGAUCCCCCCUCCCUACAUAAGGUCAGAAGGGAGGGGGGAUAUUUACUAAUCUGCCCCCACCUCCACAAUCCCUCCAAACAUACAGCACACACACACAUACAGCACCCACAGCACCU